UAGCCUGCCCGGUGACAUAGUUAAACGGCCGCGGUACCCUAACCGUGCAAAGGUAGCACAAUCACUUGUUCUCUAAAUCAGGACCAGUAUGAACGGCCCCACGAGGGCUAUGCUGUCUCCCCCCUCCAAUCAGUGAAACUGAUCCCCUCGUGAAGAAGCGAGGAUGCCCACAUAAGACGAGAAGACCCCAUGGAACUUUAAACUAGUAUUACCCCCCCCCCCACCACAUCACACCAACAGGGCAACAUGACUACUAGUCUUUCGGCUGGGGCGGCCACGGGGAAAAACAAAACCCCCGAGAUGAAAGGAUAAACCCCCUAUCCACGAACCACCAUUCUAAGAAUCAACAAAUGACACCACUGACCCAACACUUGAUCAACGAACCAAGCUACCCUGGGGAUAACAGCGCAAUCCAUUUCAAGAGACCUCAUCGACAAAUGGGCUUACGACCUCGAUGUUGGAUCAGGGCAUCCCGGUGGUGCAGCCGCUACCAAAGGUUCGUUGGUUCAACGAUUAAAACCCUACGUGAU
rnacentral:rRNA from 1 species